GAUGAACGCUAGCGACAGGCCUAACACAUGCAAGUCGAGGGGCAGCAUAAAGGUAGCAAUACUUUGGUGGCGACCGGCGCACGGGUGAGUAACACGUAUGCAACCUACCUGUAAGAGGGGAAUAACCCGGAGAAAUUCGGACUAAUACCGCAUAAUACUGAUUAUCUGCAUGGAUUGAUCAGUUAAACAUUUAUGGCUUACAGAUGGGCAUGCGUAUGAUUAGAUAGUUGGUAGGGUAACGGCCUACCAAGUCAACGAUCAUUAGGGGUUCUGAGAGGAAGGUCCCCCACACUGGUACUGAGACACGGACCAGACUCCUACGGGAGGCAGCAGUGAGGAAUAUUGGUCAAUGGGCGAGAGCCUGAACCAGCCAAGUCGCGUGAAGGAAGAAGGUUCUAUGGAUUGUAAACUUCUUUUGAAAGGGAAUAAAAAGGUUACGUGUAACUUAUUGUAUGUACUUUACGAAUAAGGAUCGGCUAGCUCCGUGCCAGCAGCCG
rnacentral:rRNA from 1 species